GGGAAAGUAGCUCAGUGGUAGAGUGCUUGUCUCGCAUGCAUGAGGCCCUGGGUUCGAUUCCUCAGCACCA
rnacentral:tRNA from 1 species